CAAUAGCGUAUAUUAAUGUUGUUGCAGUUAAAAAGCUCGUAGUUGGAUUUCUGGUCGGAAGCUCCUGUCCUCUGAUGAGCGUACAAGUGCGUCCUACCAUCCUUCUGUUAACCUUUAAGGCUUUCGCGGCUUUCUAGGGGCUCAGAUAUUUUACCUUGAGAAAAUUAGAGUGUUUCAGGCAGGCUAGCGCCGGAAUACAUUAGCAUGGAAUAAUGGAAUAGGACUUUUGCCUCUUCUGUUGGUCAUGAGGCUCGAGUAAUGAUUAAUAGGGAUAGUUGGGGGCAUUAGUACUUAACUGUCAGAGGUGAAAUUCUCGGAUUUGUUAAAGACUAACUUAUGCGAAAGCAUUUGCCAAGGAUGUUUUCAUUAA
rnacentral:rRNA from 1 species